UACGGGGGGGAGCAAGCGUUGUUCGGAUUUACUGGGCGUAAAGGGCGCGUAGGCGGCCACCGCAAGUCAGUUGUGAAAUCUCUGGGCUUAACCCAGAAAGGUCAACUGAUACUGCGGGGCUAGAGUGCAGAAGGGGCAACUGGAAUUCUCGGUGUAGCGGUGAAAUGCGUAGAUAUCGAGAGGAACACCUGCGGCGAAGGCGGGUUGCUGGGCUGACACUGAC
rnacentral:rRNA from 1 species